rnacentral:rRNA from 1 species
CCUACGGGUGGCAGCAGUGAGGAAUAUUGGGCAAUGGGCGCAAGCCUGACCCAGCAACGCCGCGUGAAGGUAGGAGGCUUUCGGGUGGUAAACUUCUUUUGAGAGGGAAGAGCAGAAGACGGUACCUCUUAAAUGAGACACGGCUAACUACGUGCCAGCGGCCGCGGUAAUACGUAGGUGGCAAGCGUUGUCCGGAUUUACGGGGUGUAAGGGGCGGGCAGCCGGGAAGAGAAGUCAGGUGUGAAAUCCCGCGGCUAAACCGCGGACCUGCAUUUGAGACUGUUUUUCUUGAGUACCGGAGAGGUCAGCGGAAUGCCUGGUGUAGCGGUGAAAUGCGUAGAUAUAAGGAAGAACACCAGUGGCGAAGGCGGAUGACGGGACGGCAACUGACGGUGAGGCGCGAAAGCGUGGGGAGCAAACAGGAUUAGAUACCCUAGUAGUC